GCGCUCGCUUCGGCAGCACAUAUACUGAAAUUGGAAUGAUACAGGGAAGAUUAGCAUGACCCUUGCGCAAGGAUGACAUUCAAAUUCGUGAAGUGUUCCAUAUUUUU
rnacentral:snRNA from 1 species